UCAAAGGCUAUGGGUUGGAAUCAAAUAAAAGAAAAGAUGCUUAGAAUGUCAAACAACCACUCACUUCCCUAUUCUUCCUUCAUUUAGACCGCAUUCGCGUUCAGUUUCAUUGUUAGCUAUCACUAUAUAUAUGUAGUUAGCUAUUACCAUUUCCAUUAAGCCAAGAAAAGUUGGAAUCUGAGAGCAUCAUCUGUCCCCUAGAGUUCCCUUGAGCACUUCACUGGGAUGAAAAAAAGGUCCAGUCUUCCUUCCUACUGAAGUGUUUGGGGGAACUCCUGGUGUCAUUUGAUAAGAAAGAAAAGAAAAAAUAGCAUUCCCAGCAGAAUGAUUCUUGAUUCAGCUUUGAGUUACAGCAUAGUGCUCCUAUUGUGUUGUUCAUGUCUUUCUCUUUUUCAAAUUAUUAAGAAUUGAAUUAAAGUAGGACAUUGAUAUGCUAGUCUAACUUGUUUAUCACCAGUUCAUGCUUAACUUUUGUUACACUCACUAGACACUUAACUAGCUUACUUCUUUUUUCUUUUGCGUAGGAAACUAGCUUACUUAUAUUUAUAAUCCGCUAAAAACAAAUAAAAUAUUUAAGUAUUAGCAUAGACACCUUAUACUUAAGAUGUAAUUUUCACUUAAUUGGUACUGAAGAAGCGAUUCUGCAAAUUCAUAGUUUGCAACAAGAAUCAUUCAUGAUAUAGGCAUAUGCCAAACUCUUCAUUCAUGAUAUAAGCAUAUGCCAAAUUUUCUCCAACAAAAUAUAAGCUUUUUCUCUGAUUGGCUUUUUGCAGCAAGAAAAUUUUAUUACGAAGGAUGCUUGGAGCUCAGAUGCCCAGCAAAAAGAAAUAACAUGGGCAAAGAGAGGUGUGGCUACCAUCACCGUUAGACUAGAUAGAGAUGGUGAAAUAUUGCAGCUGGGAUGAUAUGCUUAAGCCUAGACAAUCAAUUCCUCUAUGUCAACUGGGACUGGUUGAUGGGUUCUUCUUGUGCCAGAGUUUGCCUUUUUGAUUUGUAGAAGCAUUAUAUGUGACAUCAGAUUGUUGAAAAUACAAAAUCAGAAGUGAUUGAUGAUCGAGAUUGUCAGACACCCUAUCGUACAGAUUUAAUAGAAUGUCCGUUAUGGAUAUCAUACUCUAAAUAGCUGGCUAUCAAAUAGAAAGUAAAAAAAUCCUUCUCUUUUAUACACCAUGUUCGAAGGAAGAAUCACUUACAAUUAGAAGAGAUGGCAAAUGUUGAGACCAAAAGUAUCAUGGCAAGCAUCAGUUUCUUUCAUUUUUAAUGACAGACUACACUGCUGCAGAUGCAAGUCACAAUAAA